rnacentral:rRNA from 1 species
AUUGAACGCUGGCGGCAGGCCUAACACAUGCAAGUCGAACGGUAACAGAAAGCAGCUUGCUGCUUUGCUGACGAGUGGCGGACGGGUGAGUAAUGUCUGGGAAACUGCCUGAUGGAGGGGGAUAACUACUGGAAACGGUAGCUAAUACCGCAUAACGUCGCAAGACCAAAGAGGGGGACCUUCGGGCCUCUUGCCAUCGGAUGUGCCCAGAUGGGAUUAGCUAGUAGGUGGGGUAACGGCUCACCUAGGCGACGAUCCCUAGCUGGUCUGAGAGGAUGACCAGCCACACUGGAACUGAGACACGGUCCAGACUCCUACGGGAGGCAGCAGUGGGGAAUAUUGCACAAUGGGCGCGAGCCUGAUGCAGCCAUGCCGCGUGUAUGAAGAAGGCCUUCGGGUUGUAAAGUACUUUCAGCGGGGAGGAAGGGAGUAAAGUUAAUACCUUUGCUCAUUGACGUUACCCGCAGAAGAAGCACCGGCUAACUCCGUG